CAAAGAUACAGUGCCUUCUACAGACACUUUUCUCAAUAUGAAAAUAUUUACUCUAAAGAGCAAAAGAGUAAAGAGCAAGAGUAAAAAAAACUUUACUCCAUAAAGAGAGAGUGCUUCCUCAGUAGGACGUUCAGCACAGAGUCACAUUGGGUUGGCCAAUCAAACACAGUCUGUCUCUGAAGAGUGGAAAAAGUAUUGAGAUUCUUUUCAUUCAACACAAGAAUUUGAACACGAUGACAUCUCCAAGGUUUGCCAUCUAUGUGACAUGGUUGUUCUUGUGGAAAAUGGCUCAUGCAACUGAUGUAAAGUUGUCGUCAUCUGUGCGUCAAGAAAAAGGUUUUGCGUCGGUCGAUGCUGGAGAAAAAAUAAUUUUGCAAUGUUUCUAUGAGAUUACUGGUGGAGCAUGGCUUUACUGGCUUAAGCAAACGCUGGGAAAACAACCAAAGCUGGUCUCCACCUUCUAUCAGUUUAACAAAAAUGGCACUUUUCAUCAUGAAUUCAACAAUAAUCCACGCUUCACACUGGAUAAAGAUAAAGGUCAAAACCACCUGACAAUUUUUGAUUCGAAAAUUUCCGACUCCGCAACUUACUACUGUGCAUCUAGCACUUCAUAUGCAUUGACUUUUGCAGAGGGCACUGUGGUCAGUGUACAGGGUUCUAGUUCAAACAUCCCAACUUUGCUCCAUCAGUCACCAUCAGAGACCAUUCAGCCAGGAGGCUCUGUGACACUGAACUGUACAGUACAAACUGGGACCUGUGAUGGACAACACAGUGUUUACUGGUUCAAAGACUCUGAAGAAUCUCAUCCAGCACUCAUUUACACUGAUGGAGGCAGCACUGAUCAGUGUGAGAGGAAACCCAACACACAAACACACACCUGUGACUACAACCUGCCGUUGGAGAGCCUGAAUCCGUCCCAUGCUGGAACCUACUACUGUGCUGUUGCCUCGUGUGGACACAUUCUGUUUGGAGACGGGACCAAGCUGGACUUUGAAGGCAAGUGAUAAUCCAGCUCAUCAGAUGAAUAGUUGUUAUUUUCAAUCAAACUUGACAUGAACACAAAGAUAAAUGCUGAAAUCUUAUUUUCUGGUUUCUUACUCUGCAGAGGAGGGAAACCAUCUUCUCCUGGUGUAUUUAUUGAGUGGAGCAUUCGUAUUCACCACCAUGCUGGUGGUCUUACUGGGUUUUCUGGUUUACAGGCUAAACAAGAAAAACAUCUGUCAAUGUUCAGAGUCUCACGCAACCGUAUCAGCUCCCUCCACAGGAAACACAAAGGGUUACCAAAACGCACAAAGCGCUCAAUAUGCUGCUUUAAAUUUCAA